rnacentral:rRNA from 1 species
UACGUAGGGGGCAAGCGUUGUCCGGAAUCACUGGGCGUAAAGCGUGCGCAGGCGGACUGAAAAGUCAACUGUGAAAUAUCCGGGCUCAACCCGGAGGGUGCAGCUGAAACUCUCAGUCUUGAGUACGGGAGAGGGGAAUGGAAUUCCUAGUGUAGCGGUGAAAUGCGUAGAUAUUAGGAGGAACACCAGUGGCGAAGGCGAUUCCCUGGACCGAAACUGACGCUGAGGCACGAAAGCGUGGGGAGCAAACAGGAUUAGAUACCCUGGUAGUCCACGCCGUAAACGAUGGGUACUAGGUGUCGGAUAUGAGAAUACUCGGUGCCGCAGUAAACACAAUAAGUACCCCGCCUGGGGAGUACGGUCGCAAGACUGAAACUCAAAGAAAUUGACGGGGGCCCGCACAAGCGGUGGAGCAUGUGGUUUAAUUCGACGCAACGCGAAGAACCUUACCAGGGCUUGACAUCCCUCUGACAGGGUCCUAACCGACCCCUUCCUUCGGGACAGAGGAGACAGGUGGUGCAUGGUUGUCGUCAGCUCGUGUCGUGAGAUGUUGGGUUAAGUCCCGCAACGAGCGCAACCCUUAUCCCUAGUUGCCAUCAUUAAGUUGGGCACUCUAGAGAGACUGCCGGUGACAAACCGGAGGAAGGUGGGGAUGACGUCAAAUCAUCAUGCCCCUUAUGCACUGGGCUACACACGUGCUACAAUGGGCGGUACAAAAGGAAGCGACACCGCGAGGUUGAGCAAAUCCCCAAAGCCGCUCACAGUUCGGAUUGCAGGCUGCAACUCGCCUGCAUGAAGUCGGAAUCGCUAGUAAUCGCAGGUCAGCAUACUGCGGUGAAUACGUUCCCGGGCCU